GAUGAAGAACGCAGCGAAAUGCGAUAAGUAAUGUGAAUUGCAGAAUUCAGUGAAUCAUCGAAUCUUUGAACGCACCUUGCACCCUUUGGCAUUCCGAAGGGUAUGCUCGUUUGAGUGUCAUUGUACUCUCACACUUCUGAUCCUUUGGAUUGGGAGCGGUGGACUUGGGUGUUGCUGCUUUACUGUGGCUCACCUCAAAUGCAUUCGUGCAACUCUUGGUUGGACAUAGUACGGCGUGAUAAGUAUCUUCGCCGGCACCUCGCAAGAGGGUGGCUGAUCAGGAGCUCUGUGCUUUCCAACUGUCUUCAGACAACAACUGACAACUUGUCCUCAAAUCGAGUAGGACCACCCGCUGAACUUAAGCAUAUCAAUAAGCGGAGGA
rnacentral:misc_RNA from 1 species